CUUCCCUCCUCCACUGAGCUAGCACUGCCCAAAUGGGCCUCGGCUCCAGAGGCAGUUGAGCAAAUCCAGAUGUUAGAAAAGCACCGUUCCCGGGAGGGGCUGACAGCAGCUGAAGGACAGUGCACUGGAGGGAGGCUUGUUUGUCAUCAGAGUGAGUAACUGGAGGCGGACUGUGGCCAUGUUUCCAUCCAAAUGCGGGGGAAGAAGGGAGGUGGGAAAGAGCUGACUAGCAAAAUGCCAACGCUGGGGAAGUGGCCAUGUGUGUGCCUUGGAGGCAUGGCCAUGUGUGUGCCUUGGAGAAGUGGCCAUGUGUGUGCCUUGGAGGCAUGGCCAUGUGUGUGCCUUCCCUCCUAUUUACCUUGCCAUUGUUAGACGGGCGCUCCCCCUCCCACAAGACCAUCUCCCUAAAUGGACAUUUCUUCACCCAUUGUGUUUGCUUGCAAUAGAAGGAACUUAGUCUGGCCACAAAAGAUUUGUUUCCCUGCUCCUCCAAGUCACACUCCUCCCAGACUGUGGGGCUUAACAUAACUUCUAACCACAAGGACAUGGGGGUGGGGGAAGCUUUAUUCCUCUCUCUUGCCAAGUUUUAUCUCCUUAUCUUUCCUUUGAAUAACCCACCCUAGCCCAUGGUUUCUGCAGAGUUCUGUCCUUCACCCACCCUGUAAUUUCUGGAUGUGUUUGCCUCAAAGAGCUAAGAAGGUUAAUUGUCACGCUAAGACAGGACUGACUUGAGACUCAGAAGCCCUCAAGGCUUAGCUCUGCCAACCUCUACCCUUGUAACCUCAAGUAAAAUACAGGGUUUUCUUCUGGUUUCUCUUCCUUCUCUUUCCUGUCUCUGACCAUGCCUGCACGGCCUAGUGUGCCCAUCAAUCAGUUCUGCCCACCACGUCCUAAACUAAGCUUUUAUCUACCUAGACGCUUAGCCAAUGCCCCCAUAUUAAAAUUUAACAUCUCACAGUCUCUGAAAUUAGAACAAUAAUACCAAAUUGUAAAUACCAACUAAGGCAUUUCAUGUGAUUUGUAAACUAUGAAGAGGAAAAGCACAUGGUUCAAAGUCGAAAUCAUGUUAUUACAGUUUUGUGCCUUUUUAGAAAUACAUGGUUCUGUUAAACUGGAGGGUUUAGGGUAAAGGGUUUGCAGGGGAACUACACUUUCUCAUUGGCAGGGUUUCAUUAAUCAUCACACCUACCCUGCUCCCUCACUGGAGGUGCUUUUUCUCGUUGUUUUAGGUUUGUUGUAGGGAUAUAGCCAACAAAUCAGGGCUGUUCAACUUCUACACUGCUGACAUGAUAGCAGGCAAGAACACCCAGAGGCAUCCAUGUUGGAAGCCAGAUAAGUGUUUGUUGGGGGGGGCAAUAAUAGAAUGUCCAGCAGUGGCUCUUGCCCUCCAUCCAUCAGCUCCUAAUAGCAUCCUCCCCUGGGAAGUAACAGUUGGAAUGUUUGACAUACUUUUUUCUCUUGCAUCUUUGUUACAGAUAUUCUUGAUGUUUUAAAUGUAUGUGCCUGUGUCCCCUAAACACUGCACUCAGUCCUGCCCGGAGAUGUUUUUGCUGAUUUAGGUUUGAAGUACAUAUUGAGUGACUGCCCUACUGCUGACCUGCAUCCUUGGCCCAUGAGUUGAUUUUAGCUGCAGCAAAAUUGUAAUGGGGCGUUGUGGGGGUGUUCUGCAUGUAUGUGUUCAUAGUAUUUCAGUCUAGUCUAUCUUCUUAAAUAUUUAAUUAUUUGUGGUUUAAAAAAACUUUCAAAAUCCUCUCCUCUAGUUUUUUGAAAUGGAUGGUUCAUUCUUAACUAUGGUUACCCUUUUCUAAUGAUUGUCAUAAAUAACACAGCAGAAUUUCUUGAUCCCCUUAAUUAGCUUUCCUCACCCUUCCUCCCUCCUGUCCUAGACCUCGGGUCACCACUAUUCUGCUCUCAACUUCUGUAAGAUGAUUCUGCAUGUAUGUGAGAGUCUGGUUUGAUUUGGUUUGUUUUUUUCUGAAAUUCCACAUAUGAUGUGGAAUUUGUCUUUAUGUAACUGACUUAUUUACCUCAACCUUCUCCAAUUCCAUCUGUGUUAUUACAAAUACCACAACUCCAUUCUUCUUAGGGCUGCAGGUGUUCCGUGGUAUAUGUGCACCAUGUUUUUGCUAUUCAUUCACUAGUUAGUGGACACUUUGGCUGUUUCUUUUUCUCUCUAGUUAUGAAUAAUGUCGUAAACAUGGAAGAUGAUUCUUCAACAUACUGGUCUAGUUUCUUCAUAUGCAUAAAGAGAACAGUGGGGUUUCUGGAUCAUAUAGUAAUUUUAUUCUUAUUCAUUUAUUUCUUGGGGGUCUGGAAUAGCAUUUCAUCUCUGUACGAACUCACACACAUACACGCAUGCACACAUGCACAAGCAUGCUGUGAGCACAGUUUGCACGGAUCCCCAUUUCUCCAACUCCUGUCGUCACUUACUAUGUUGGGUCUUUGGGAUGUGAUUGUCUUUCUUAUUUGAAGGGCAAUAUCUCCUUGUGGCUUUGAUUUACAUUCUCCUGAGGUUUGGUGAUGAUGAAUAUUUUUUAAAAUGGCCCAUUAGUCAUUUGUAGUCUUCUUUGGGACAAUUAAUGCCUAUGUAGGUCUACUGCCCACCUUUCAGCUGGGUGAUUCGGUUCACUUUACUGAGUCUUUGGAGUUCCUUGUGUCUUCUGAAUGAUGACCUCUUGUCACAUGCGUAGUUUGAAAAUGUCUUCCAUUCCAUCUAUUGUGUCCUCACUCAGAUCACCAUCUGCUUUGUUGAGAAAGAGUUUUUCAGGUCAGCAUAGUCUGAUUGGUGCUGCUCUUACUUCAGGUGCUUUGAGGAGUCUUCUGAGAACGUUGCCCUUUCUGUAAAAGCUUCCCCUAUGUUUCCUUCUGACAGCUCCGGAUUUCACAUCUAAGUUUUCAACUCAUUUUGAGCCCAACUCAUCUUUUUCUUGUUUUUGAGACAGGGUCUCACUAUGUGGUCCAGAGUUGCCUCAAAUUCUUAGUCCUCCUCCUCAGCCUCCUGAGGGAGCUGAGAUAACAGGGUUGUCAGCUACUUUUUAAAGUAAAUAUUCUAUAAAUACUCAGGAGUAGUUAAGUGGGCUUUACCUGAGAAGCAAUUUUAGAUGGGUAUCUCAAAUGGGUGUCCAGAGGGCCCCUUCACAUAGCAACUAGAGCCACCACCACCUGAGCCCCUACUUGGGGCUUGAUCCAGGCCACUCAUCUACUCCUCACCAUGCCCUGAUUAAGAGUUACGGGGAAUAAACAUCUUCCUUCCACCUUACAGAUGAGUGAACAGAAACCCAAAUGUGCCAAUCAAAAGCACAUGGUUGUUAAGUAGCAAACCUGAAAUUUGGUUCCAAGCUCAGUGGAGCAGGUACUAGAUUCCAGCUUCUAAAACAGAAACUCUGAAGCUUGAAACCCUAAAGACAGUAGAGAGCUUCUUGCCUAAUCCCCACAACUACUAGAUUAAGAAAAGGCCCCCUUGAUGGGUGGCAGUGGUACACACCUUUUAUCUCAGCACUUGGGAGGCAGAUGCAGGCAGACCUCUUAGUUUGAGGCUAGCCUGGUCUACAGAGCCAGUUCUAGGGCUACAUGGAGAAACCCUGUCUUGAAAAGAAAGAAACAGAGAGAGAGAGAGAGAGAGAGAGAGAGAGAGAGAGAGAGAGAGAGAGACUGAUGGACAAAUAUGAAAAAAGAAAAACACACAAGAUUACAAAAUUAUAAAAUCAACAUCCAUUUUGAUUAAGGUCUUGGCCACCUCCUAGCUGAAUGAUCAGGAUUUAUCAUGAGCAAUAUAAAAUAGAGGUUAUGGAGCUAUUGUGACUAAUCAUAUGUGAACUGAUAAGUUCUAAAAAAUGUAGUUCAGACAUUUCCCAAGUGUUUCAUCAUCAAAUCACGGGAAGAACCUGGCUCCCUCCUCAAGUCAAUAGGGCAGCUACCACUGAGGCCCUGCAAAGGCAACAUUCUCUUUCCCAUAACAUCAGUGAUGACACAGGGAAACUGAGCAUGUUGGACAAUGGGGGCCACUUCUAAUACCCCAGGGAGAGGACACUCAGACACUGAGGCACAUCUCCAAAGGCCUGGCCCAUGCCCAGGGACUUUGGAAUCUUGUGGUUUGCCUCAAACUCUGGCAAGAGGGAAAAGUCCCAGUGCCUAAUUUAGUUGCUCCCUCAAAAGUAAACCAAAGUGAGUCAUGUGGGAAUGGAGAAACCACCAGUGCCUGAUGUCCAUCUGAGGAUCCUGAUGAAGACCCAAUGCUGAAGAUGUGGGGAUGUAAGUACCCGGGUGGCCUCUGUUUCCACUCCAAUGAGUCACUUGCAAGAUGAGCCAAGCAUGUGCAUGUCCAUGCUCACAUGCAAUGAAGGAUUGCCUCAUGUAUGCUUCUGCCUCCCCCUUGAUAUUUUUGUCAGGGAUGUGGAGUUGGGAUACAGAGACCUGAUCCAGCUGUUGCUGUGACCUGAGCAUAGGACACGGAGGCACUGUCAAGCAUCACUAUGGAAGAACAGGCUGCAGAGCUGUCUGGAUAUGGAAUGUUUGCACCCGCCCUGUGUUUGAACACUUGGUCCCUAGCUAAAUGUGCUGCAUGGAUAUAAGACGCCAUGCCACAAGCUCCUGACUCUACAGACUGAGCAGCACGGCUGCCAUGUCAUCCUCACGAUGAUUGACUGCAUCCCUUGAAACCAUUAGCCCAAAUAAAAUCCUUCUUGCCUGAAGUGUUUUUGUUUGUUUGUUUGUUUUCCUGUCAAUCAUUUGGUCACAGCACCAAGAAAAGCAACCAAUAUAGUAGUCAAUCCUGAGAGAAGCAGAAGUGGGGAGAAUUUGAUGCUCUCAGGUCUCCAGGUGCAUCUCAGUCACGAUUGGUCCUGAGUAGCUUGAGAUGCCUCUGUGUGCGUAAUGGUGACAUUGUAGCAGAUGGCCUGUACAUACAGGAAUGGUCCCAUGACGUUACAUUGCCCACUGGUUUCUGUCCGUAUACUCUCCAGUUUUGCAGAACAAUGGGAUUGCCAAACAAUGCACUUCUCAGAUGUGUUCCUGUCAUCCAGUGACAAGCAAUUCUGCACCUUUUUCUACCAAGGCUGUUUUGAAAUGGCAUUCUGUCCCAAGCCAUCCCAAGAGAUUUGGUUUUGAUAGUUAUACCACACCAACUGCAUUCAUACUUGAUACUCACAAACAUAGUUAGUACAGCCAUUUCCAAGGCAAAUGACAGCAACUGUCUCUGCUUUUCCUGAAAGUGACAAUGCUGGUCAAAGAGGAAACCACUGGCCAAUGAUGGAUGACCUGGUUUCCCAGAAUGGGGGCAGGAAGACAGCAGAUAUUGCUUCCCAUAGCAAGGGAGUGACACAAAUCCUUCAACUUGGAAACAAGCUCCACCUGAAAGUAAAAUGUUCCCAACUUCCCCAUUUGGAAAUUCUUGUUUCUCACAUCUAAAUUGCUCAUCGUGUUGGCCUUUCUUUUGGAGAUGAGGAAACAAUUGUUAGUCUCUUCCCUAUACACACAAACAUUAAGGUAUUGUUCAACCUUCUUUCUCUUCUGGGCUGUAUGACCCCCACUGCUCCCAUCUUCACCAUAAUCAUGGUGUCAGUUCUAUCUGGAUUACAACCCAGCUUUGCUGUCCCCAUGCUGGUCAAUUCCCACUUCAGAGAGAGGUAGCUAAAUCUUGCUUCUCUACAUCCUUGAACCUCUGUUAGUCUCUUUUCUUUCCAUUCUCAACUCCCACCUCUGUUUUGUAACCCUCCCCGCUGCUCUGCUGUUUUCCUGAAUCCCACAUACAAUGGCUGGCGAAGGCUCCCUCCUUCACUAGUGUAUCUUCCUGAGGUCA
ensembl:lncRNA